rnacentral:rRNA from 1 species
CCUACGGGAGGCAGCAGUGAGGAAUAUUGGUCAAUGGGCGUGAGCCUGAACCAGCCACGUAGCGUGAAGGAUGACGGCCCUACGGGUUGUAAACUGCUUUUAUAAAGGAAUAAAAUGAGGCACGUGUGAGGUUUUGUAUGUACCGUAUGAAUAAGGAUCGGCUAACUCCGUGCCAGCAGCCGCGGUAAUACGGAGGAUCCGGGCGUUAUCCGGAUUUAUUGGGUUUAAAGGGAGCGUAGGUGGAUUGUUAAGUCUGUUGGGAAAGUUUGCGGCUCAACCGUAAGAGUGCAGUUGAAACUGGCAGUCUUGAGUGCAGUAGAGGUGAGCGGAAUUCGUGGUGUAGCGGUGAAAUGCGUAGAUAUCAGGAAGAACUCCGAUUGCGAAGGCAGUUCACUGGACUGCAACUGACGCUGAGGCUCGAAAGUGUGGGGAUCAAACAGGAUUAGAUACCCUAGUAGUC